CAUAAAACUAGUAUUCGUUUUACAAGUGCUGACAUCUUGUAUUUUUGUUGCCAGCAUACCUAUUACAGCCAACUUACAGACAAGGGAAAGCUGCUUAAAAUUACUACAUGGUGAGUAUGAUUAUAGAGAUUCCUUAUAGGUAGAUUUUACCCUAGAAUAUUGACUUAGAUGAUUACUCAUUAGAGUGAGUCACUGUGAGUGGAAGUCAAAGCUUUCCAUUCUGCACUCAAAAGCACAGUAUCAAAUGGGUCAUUCCAGAAAACAUCCAUACCGCCCCCACAGAGAAAAUAGGAAGUUAACCCCCUACCCCCUUCGGAUGUCCUAAUACAUUUACUAUUAUCAGAAACAAUUUUUUCUCCCCUCCCCUUCCGGACGGCAGAAAUUUCCUCUGUGGGGGGAGUAUGGAUCUUUUCUGGAACGACCCAAUAUGAAUACUGGGUUGAUGCCAAAUUAUUGUCUUCUGUCUAUCAAGACUCGAGUGGAGAGUGCUAAUGUAUUGAUGGUCAUUUAUAAGACAAAUCAUAAAUUAAUCUAGCUUUCUUUGUAUUACAUGCACAUUGGCUUUUUAUCACAUUUCUGGUAGCCAAUGCUGAAUGAACAAAAUCCAUGGAUUGAGUUGCAUUGCAUCUUGAUACACCCCGCUUUAUUACUUUACCCUGUCUAAUGCCAGACGAUUUUACUUGUCAAGGGGAACACACUGGUACUUAAUGGAUUAAAGACAAUAAAAUAGGGACGUAGGCACAUUAACCCAUUAAUCACCAGCACUCCCACUCACAAAUAUGUCUGGCAAUUGACAUUAGACAGGAAUACAAUAAAGUAGGAGUGCAAUCCAACUUCAUGGGUUAACAUUUUCCUGUGUGACCAUGAUUUCUGGGUAGUGAUGCACCAACUAAAUUGAAAUGUCAGUAAUUUGAUGUCAUCUUUGAAUUUUGUGUAAUGACAUGGAAUAUCGGUGUCAGUAUCUGAAAAAUAUCAGUCUUUCAGUAUCGGUUAUCGGAAUAUCAGUGAACCUUACACGACUAUUUCUGGGUUAGCAUGUUACUAGCUAUAAUUUGGUCUAAGGUUGGAGCCAUAGUCAUAGUGAAUCAAAUUUUUCCUAUGAAAACAAAUAUUAAUUAAAUAAUCUAUCUGUAAUUAUUCAUUAUGUAGGAUGGAGUUUACAAUGCGAUAAAGAAUCUUUGAACAUGGUAGAUGCUUACUAAAAUGCAAGGGUGAUGUUGUCGGUACUGUACAGUAUUUGUGAUCUAAUAUGCUACUGGCUCAUUCCUGAUUCCAGAAAACAUUCAUGGUUUUACCUCAGUUUACUUGUUUAACCCAUUAUGUGACAGCACUGGCAAGUAAAACAAUAAGACAUUAUGAUAUUCAUAUAUACAGUAAAUGUGUUGCUGUGCAUGCAUAUUUUACACAUAAUUUUUUGUAGUGACUAGUGGUGGGUAUUGUCACACCAAAGUGCCCAGCAUCUUGUAAAUAUUUUAAUGUAAUGUUUAACUUCAUGUAAAUACACCUUUUUAAACUUGC